rnacentral:rRNA from 2 species
UAGGGAAUCUUCCGCAAUGGGCGAAAGCCUGACGGAGCAACGCCGCGUGAGUGAUGAAGGUCUUCGGAUCGUAAAACUCUGUUAUUAGGGAAGAACAAAUGUGUAAGUAACUAUGCACGUCUUGACGGUACCUAAUCAGAAAGCCACGGCUAACUACGUGCCAGCAGCCGCGGUAAUACGUAGGUGGCAAGCGUUAUCCGGAAUUAUUGGGCGUAAAGCGCGCAUAGGCGGUUUUUUAAGUCUGAUGUGAAAGCCCACGGCUCAACCGUGGAGGGUCAUUGGAAACUGGAAAACUUGAGUGCAGAAGAGGAAAGUGGAAUUCCAUGUGUAGCGGUGAAAUGCGCAGAGAUAUGGAGGAACACCAGUGGCGAAGGCGACUUUCUGGUCUGUAACUGACGCUGAUGUGCGAAAGCGUGGGGAUCAAACAGG